UACGUAGGGUGCGAGCGUUGUCCGGAAUUAUUGGGCGUAAAGGGCUCGUAGGCGGUUUGUCGCGUCGGGAGUGAAAACCUCGGGCUUAACUCGGGGCUUGCUUUCGAUACGGGCAGACUGGAGGUAUGCAGGGGAGAACGGAAUUCCUGGUGUAGCGGUGAAAUGCGCAGAUAUCAGGAGGAACACCGGUGGCGAAGGCGGUUCUCUGGGCAUGGCCUGACGCUGAGGAGCGAAAGUGUGGGGAGCGAACAGG
rnacentral:rRNA from 1 species